GUCCACGCCGUAAACUAUGAGUGCUAGACGUUGGGGGCUUGCCUCUCAGUGUCGCAGCUAACGCGAUAAGCACUCCGCCUGGGGAGUACGGCCGCAAGGUUAAAACUCAAAGGAAUUGACGGGGCCCGCACAAGCGGUGGAGCAUGUGGUUUAAUUCGAAGCAACGCGCAGAACCUUACCAGCCCUUGACAUGGGAAGUAUGAGCUCUUGAAAGAGAGUUCUUCAGUUCGGCUGGCUUCCACACAGGUGCUGCAUGGCUGUCGU
rnacentral:rRNA from 1 species